rnacentral:rRNA from 1 species
UAAUACAGAGAGUGCAAACGUUGUUCGGAAUUACUGGGCUUAAAGCGCACGUAGGCGGUGUCGUAAGUGUCUGGUGAGAUCCCACGGCUCACCCGUGGAACUGCAGGCAUACUGCGAUACUCGAGUGUGGUAGGGGAGAGCGGAACUCCUGGUGGAGCGGUGAAAUGCGUAGAUAUCAGGAGGAACACCGGUGGCGAAGGCGGCUCUCUGGUCCACUACUGACGCUGAGGUGCGAAAGCUAGGGGAGCAAACGGGA